UACGGAGGGUGCGAGCGUUAAUCGGAAUUACUGGGCGUAAAGCGCGCGUAGGCGGUCUGAUCAGCCGGUUGUGAAAGCCCCGGGCUCAACCUGGGAACGGCAUCCGGAACUGUCAGGCUAGAGUGCAGGAGAGGAAGGUAGAAUUCCCGGUGUAGCGGUGAAAUGCGUAGAGAUCGGGAGGAACACCGGUGGCGAAGGCGGCCAACUGGGCUGGAUCUGACGCUGAGGCGCGAAAGCGUGGGGAGCAAACAGGAUUAGAUACCCCCGUAGUCCCUGA
rnacentral:rRNA from 1 species